rnacentral:rRNA from 1 species
UACAGAGGGUGCGAGCGUUGUCCGGAAUCACUGGGCGUAAAGGGCGCGUAGGCGGCUUGGCAAGUCCAUGGUGAAAGCUCAGGGCUCAACUCUGGGUCUGCGGUGGGUACGGGCAGACUAGAGUGUGGUAGGGGAGACUGGAAUUCCUGGUGUAGCGGUGAAAUGCGCAGAUAUCAGGAGGAACACCGAUGGCGAAGGCAGGUCUCUGGGCCACUACUGACGCUGAGAAGCGAAAGCAUGGGGAGCAAACAGG